GGCACUGUGGCAGAGUGGUUAAUGCGUUAGCCUCGAACUAAAAUAGACUAGCUAAUCCCUUCGGGGUCGUGCGUUCGAAUCGCACCGGUGUCG